rnacentral:misc_RNA from 1 species
GUCUGAAAUUAUUAUUCAUGAGGCUUUUAUAUCACGUCUGAACUCCUGAAAAGGGCAUCACAAAAAAAAUGGGGAAACAGAAGAUGUCUCUUCACAAUUCAAAAGGCUCAGAAGAAGGCACUUCUCAAAAUUUUUGUUAAAGCAACUAAAAAGUGCUUCCAAGGUGCAUUUGGGAUGUUUUGAUAUGAAUAUUUAAAAACAUCUCAAAAGCAGUCUAUAUUUUUUUUU